UCCAGACUCCUACGGGAGGCAGCAGUGGGGGAUAUUGCACAAUGGGGGAAACCCUGAUGCAGCGACGCCGCGUGGGUGAAGAAGCGCCUCGGCGCGUAAAGCCCUGUCAGCAGGGAAGAAAAUGACGGUACCUGAAGAAGAAGCCCCGGCUAACUACGUGCCAGCAGCCGCGGUAAUACGUAGGUGGCAAGCGUUGUCCGGAUUUACUGGGUGUAAAGGGCGUGCAGCCGGGAAGACAAGUCAGAUGUGAAAUCCCGCGGCUCAACCGCGGAACUGCAUUUGAAACUGUUUUUCUUGAGUAUCGGAGAGGUAAUCGGAAUUCCUAGUGUAGCGGUGAAAUGCGUAGAUAUUAGGAAGAACACCAGUGGCGAAGGCGGAUUACUGGACGACAACUGACGGUGAGGCGCGAAAGCGUGGGGAGCAAACAGGAUUAGAUACCCCCGUAC
rnacentral:rRNA from 1 species